GAGUUUUAUGAACUAGUUUUGCCACUAAAGAAACAUAACGUAGAGUUGUACUAUUAAUUACUUUAGAUUGGCUACAUUAUAGCUUAGAAAUUACUUGAUUUUUUUCUUGCUUGAUUUAUCAGGUAAAAACUGAUGAGUGAGUUUUACAGUUCUACCGUGAUAGUUUGAAUACUCCAUUUGUUUAUAUGGACACUUAGCUGAAAAGGUGGUGCUUGCUGUCUUGCAAGGGGAAACUUUUCAUCUGAAUUAAUGCAGUCUCAUAACUUUUGAAAUAAAUAAAACUUCAUGAUGCUCCUAAACACUAUAAAAUGUUGUUUAGUAGAGCAAUGAGUCAUUUGAUCCUUAGCUAAAAGGACUUAAUUCAAAUCCUGACCCCGUGUAGCAACUGUUGAAGGAAUUGCAACAAGGUGAACCUUUACAUUUGUUAGAGAUGAAUAAGUUUGGGUACUGCUUUGAAAUAUAUCAUGUGAGGGAAGACAUUUAUUGAUGGCAUAAUCGUCUAGUUUGGCCUAUUCUAUUAUCUUGUUUGUUUGAAGAGUCUGAUACCUUUUUAUUUUUUUAAAUUUUUAGGCCACAGCCAAGUACGUUGUCAUCCUUAUUACAGUGCAGUACAGUGUCACCUAUGCUAUUGGUCUGGAUGAUGUGGAUAUCUACACAUUUUCAGCUGAAGAAAUGGAAAUAGCAUAUUAAGAACCAAAUUCCAUAGGAAAAAAAACAAUUAAGAACAAACCAACAAAAAAGGAAGUGAGCAGAGGAGACAGAUGAGUUUUGUGGAGUGAUUCCCCUGUGAAAGAGAGAACGUUGUUUGGAGAAGAGUAAUAGGUGAUGGAAAAUGAUGACCAAGGGAGUUAUGGCAGCAUCCAAAAUGUAAGCCAUGAAUAUUUCCCUAGUGGAAGAAGAGAGAAUCCUGCAGGAAACCUUACUUGAAAUAAACAGAAUUGUUAAGCAGCAGAGCUUGUGCUUUCAGAUGCGACAGG